rnacentral:rRNA from 1 species
AGAGUUUGAUCAUGGCUCAGGAUGAACGCUGGCGGCGUGCUUAACACAUGCAAGUCGAGCGAAGCACUUAUGACGAUCCUUCGGGUGAAUCAUUUGUGACUGAGCGGCGGACGGGUGAGUAACGCGUGAGUAACCUGCCUCAUACAGGGGAAUAACAGUUGGAAAUGACUGCCAAUGCCGCAUAAGCGCACAGGGCCGCAUGGCCCGGUGUGAAAAACUCCGGUGGUAUGAGAUGGACUCGCGUCUGAUUAGCUAGUCGGCAGGGUAACGGCCUACCAAGGCGACGAUCAGUAGCCGGCCUGAGAGGGUGAACGGCCACAUUGGGACUGAGACACGGCCCAAACUCCUACGGGAGGCAGCAGUGGGGAAUAUUGCACAAUGGGGGAAACCCUGAUGCAGCGACGCCGCGUGAGCGAUGAAGUAUUUCGGUAUGUAAAGCUCUAUCAGCAGGGAAGAAAAUGACGGUACCUGACUAAGAAGCACCGGCUAAAUACGUGCCAGCAGCCGCGGUAAUACGUAUGGUGCAAGCGUUAUCCGGAUUUACUGGGUGUAAAGGGAGCGUAGACGGAGUGGCAAGUCUGAUGUGAAAACCCGGGGCUCAACCCCGGGACUGCAUUGGAAACUGUCAAUCUAGAGUACCGGAGAGGUAAGCGGAAUUCCUAGUGUAGCGGUGAAAUGCGUAGAUAUUAGGAGGAACAUCAGUGGCGAAGGCGGCUUACUGGGCUUUAACUGACGCUGAGGCUCGAAAGCGUGGGGAGCAAACAGGAUUAGAUACCCUGGUAGUCCACGCCGUAAACGAUGAUUACUAGGUGUGGGGGGACUGACCCCUUCCGUGCCGCAGCAAACGCAAUAAGUAAUCCACCUGGGGAGUACGACCGCAAGGUUGAAACUCAAAGGAAUUGACGGGGGCCCGCACAAGCAGUGGAGUAUGUGGAUUAAUUCGAAGCAACGCGAAGAACCUUACCAGGUCUUGACAUCGUAUGCAUAGCUCAGAGAUGAGUGAAAUCUCUUCGGAGACAUAUAGACAGGUGGUGCAUGGUUGUCGUCAGCUCGUGUCGUGAGAUGUUGGGUUAAGUCCCGCAACGAGCGCAACCCUUACUGUUAGUUGCUACGCAAGAGCACUCUAGCAGGACUGCCGUUGACAAAACGGAGGAAGGUGGGGAUGACGUCAAAUCAUCAUGCCCCUUAUGACCUGGGCCUCACACGUACUACAAUGGCUGUCAACAGAGGGAAGCAAAGCCGCGAGGUGGAGCGAACCCCUAAAAGCAGUCUUAGUUCGGAUUGUAGGCUGCAACCCGCCUACAUGAAGUCGGAAUUGCUAGUAAUCGCAGAUCAGCAUGCUACGGUGAAUACGUUCCCGGGCCUUGUACACACCGCCCGUCACGCCAUGGGAGUCGGUAACACCCGAAGCCUGUAGUCUAACCGCAAGGAGGACGCAGUCGAAGGUGGGAUUGAUGACUGGGGUGAAGUCGUAACAAGGUA